AUGCCACUUAUCAGGGUCCAUAAUCUAAAGCAUUGUACUUGUAAUUUGUCAAGUUUGAAUACGGUUAAGGUCAUUCUAGAAAAACAUCCCCCUCCUUCCAAGAAAAGUACACAUGUAUGGACCGAACUUGGCUUACAGGAUGUUGUCCAACGUGCACUAGUUCAAGACAGGUCCGGUUCAAUUACUCUAGAAAUUUUGUUGAAAAACCACGAGAUGAUUGAUGAACUUCCAAAGGCAGAGCUAAUCUUGAUAGCUAUGUGGUAUAUAUGGUGGCAAAGGCGUCAAAUUGGAAAAGGAGAGACUGUCCAGGAGCCUAGUCGCUCGGGUGUCUCAAUCCUGGUUCUGGCAACGAAUUUUUUUAGAGCUGCAACACCGAAUCAACCUACCAAGAAAGAAAUCCAUACCUGGCGGAAACCGAUUGAUGGCACUGUUAAGAUAAAUGUUGAUGCAUCUUUUCACCUUGAAACUCUUAGCGGAGCUAGUGGUGCGGUGGCGAGAGACCACAAAGGGAACUUCAUAACUGCUGCGACUUGGGUUUUACCUCAUGUUUGCAAUGCUGAAUCAGAGGAGAUAAAUGCUAUCCGGAAUGGUCUUUAUCUGGCAAGGAAAAUAGGAUGCAACAAGCUGGUUAUUGAAUCUGAUGAGUCGGUUACCCAUGCAAAUGAUUAUAUGGGUCCCGGAUGUGGCGGUGUUAGCUGA
rnacentral:rRNA from 1 species